UACGUAGGGUGCAAGCGUUGUCCGGAAUUAUUGGGCGUAAAGGGCUCGUAGGCGGUCCAUCACGUCGGGAGUGAAAAGCUGGGGCUUAACCCCAGUCCUGCUUCCGAUACGGGUGGACUAGAGGUAGGCAGGGGAGAACGGAAUCCUGGUGUAGCGGUGAAAUGCGCAGAUAUCAGGAGGAACACCGGUGGCGAAGGCGGUUCUCUGGGCCUUACCUGACGCUGAGGAGCGAAAGCAUGGGGAGCGAACGGG
rnacentral:rRNA from 1 species